UUUAAAAUCGCGCGGAGAUUGUAGAAUGCUAUUUUAAGAAGUCUAUUAAAGAGAGAAAAUCCAGUAAAUACCAGAUCCAAAAAGCGCGGAACACAAAUAUCGUCCGCGAAAAUUAAGCAUUGAAUUACUGUACAAAUCUCGGGUUGUUAGGUGUUAGAAUCCCUAGUUACCCGAAAAAUUUGAUUGGAUCCGAUACUUAGAAAUAACCAAUCAGAUACUUUGUAACAAAUGCAACACAAUCAGUGCGUUCAGUAAGUAUAACGUUUCAAGAUGGCGGAGCGAAUUGCAUGGUUAUUGUUUCUACUCGAUGGAUUCGCAGAUAAUUCGGAAAUAGAUCAGAUUGGGAUCAAUAACUGUAUUGCAUACGAUCAUUUACAUGUAUUACCAGGUGUGUGUUGCCAGUAAUGGUUGAAGAUAUGCCAAACAAAUUGUGCCUCUCUAUACAGACAGAUUUCAGGUCUCAAUUUCGACUUCAAAGGUCAACAUAUCACUGAUAUCAGGAAUUCUGUACAACUGUGGAACCAUGUAUGGUACGUGACCGCACAAUGUUGGUUGGCAAAAGGAUAUAGGAAUAAGCAAAGGGACUCAACAUUACACAGUCAUUUCAACAUGUAGAGUCUUGUCAGCAAUGAUGGAGCAGUACUUCAGAUUUCCAGAAUCUCGUCAUGAGCUGAAGAUCAUUGCCUAUGAAUUUCCUGAAUGAUGUAGAAUGAUUGGACUGUUGAUGGAACCCACAGUGCAUGUCCUGCUUCAACAUCUGAGCAUAGGUCCUUGUUUAUCAGCAGUUUAGUUCUUCAAGCAGUCUGUGACAGUUACUUGAAAUGUUUGGACAUAUGACCUGGAUGGCCAAGUUCUGUGCAUGAUGCCCAUUUAAAUAGGAACGGCCCAGUGGCGCAUUAAAUGGACAUUUUUCGAAUGUUCUCGAGGAUUCAGCUUACCGCCUGACAAGAAAUCUUGCUUUUUGUUCAGUAUCGAGGCCAUGGACAUUUGUAUCAUUUGCAAAAGAUACUGCGAUAUUUGUGCCUUUGUUCAUGCUUUAUAGUUGAUUAACAAUUGGAAGCCAUAACCUGUUUUUAAGAUGGUGUUAGUGGGACAAUGAAUUUUGUAAAGAUUUAAAGACUGGAAAAGAUAAUUAAAAGUCAAAAGAGUUCUGCUAUUGUUAAGCAUGCUUUAUUGAUUUGUAAUGUUAGAAAGAUAGCAUUAUUAACAGAAUAAAAUGUCCAUAAUUUGAA